AGUGGUGUAACUCAGUGGUAAGAGUGCUUACUUAGCAUUUAUGAAGCCUAGGGUUCAAUCCCAGCACUGCAA
rnacentral:tRNA from 1 species